rnacentral:rRNA from 1 species
UACGAAGGGUGCUAGCGUUGUUCGGAAUCACUGGGCGUAAAGCGUGCGUAGGCGGCUUGACAAGUCUGACGUGAAAGCCCGGGGCUUAACCCCGGAUGUGCGUUGGAAACUGUCUUGCUGGAGGACGGAAGAGGAGAGUGGAAUUCCUAGUGUAGAGGUGAAAUUCGUAGAUAUUAGGAGGAACACCAGUGGCGAAGGCGACUCUCUGGUCCGUUUCUGACGCUGAGGCACGAAAGCGUGGGGAUCAAAC